CUCAAAUGAAAAAGAUCUUCCAAUACUUGGUUAUGUAAAAUCUUCAGUUGCACUUUACAAUCCUGAUAGCAAUUAAACACUCCAGCUCCCACAUGUAUUACAGUUAUAUCUGACAUUGAUGUGAAUGCCUCAGUCUUGAUAAUAAAUACAUCUUUAUCUUUGUAACUCUCUUUACUCUCACCUUGUUAUGCUGUGCAGAAUUGUUUUACACUGUUGACAAUGACAGUGUUUUGUACUGCAGCUAACAAAAGUUAUUUUGUUAUUAAUUCAAAGUUAAGAAAAAUAAUCAGAACUGCUCCUGCGAUACAUAGUAUCUGAUUUAACCCCUUAAGGACCAAACUUCUGGAAUAAAAGGGAAUCAUGACAUGUCACACAUGUCAUGUGUCCUUAAGGGGUUAAAGAGCACCUGUUUAUAUACACAAGAUGCAUUCUUGAAAACAUUUGUUUUUGUCAUUUAGCAAUUUUGUAUUUUACAAGCAAGGAAAUACACCCAAUACAACUAUAGUAUUUAAAAAGGGUCAAGGUUAGUAUGCACACCCUACCCGCAGUGCUUAAUCAGGAACAAAGGACAUUAAAAUGGCCGAACUUAACGCAAUGCCCUCAGUAGGCGAAAUAUCAGAGUCAAGGAAAACCGGCAGAGGUCGGAGAUUCCAGAAGACACAAUAACAGUAAGCCAAGAUAGGUCAAGGAGUACAGAGAUAAGAGGAGUCAGGCAAGGAGAGAUUGAUGGAGUAAUAUGUGGACCCUUUGGGGAAGGACCUUUUGUUGAAGGCACCUUAUUAUAAUGUAAGAUUUGAUGUCCUUUUAAUCUGGUGCCUUCUUAUAUUCAUUCAUAUUAAGGAGGACUCAUCUAUAAGACUCCAUGUACAUUACCGUUUACCACAUUGAUGCUGAUUUACCUGAGCCAGUGAUUCACAGGCUCAGUAAAAUGUGAGUGAGAUGUGUAUAAGAUAAAUUAAUUUGCAUUCUGUGUAUGAUAUACCAGCAACUUUCUCUUUCAGCAAUAUCUGUGAGGCGUUUAUACAGGGUAUUUAUUCAUUAUUGGUUUAACACACUCAGUCAUUUUGUAUACUUAUUGUGAGUGCCUUCACAAAGUGCUCCACCCACUAUACUUAUUUCUGGUUAUUGCUUUCAUGGUGAAAUUAGGCAAUUGAUUUCACACUGGGGAUUUGUUGCACCAAGAUUUUAGCACCAUUUUUUAUUUUGCACAAACUUGUAUAUUUAAGCAGAGAUCAGGAAAUCACAGAUAAUCAGGAAUGCGCUAUUGGGAUCACACAGAAACCACAGAGUGCACUAAAGAGAUUGAAAAUUCUUGCUAGCCACACCCCCAAAACCAAAAUGCACAUCAGCAAUGGUGUGAUGGCACAACGUGGGUGUGGCUUGCUUAUAUUAUAAAAGGUGUGGAGCUACAGUGUCUGACGUCAGAAACGCUGGCAAAGGUGUCUGAGGAUGUGUAACUGAUGUCUUUCUCCCUCCAGGUGAGUGGCAUAGUUCAAGGCUAUGUUUCUUUUCUAGUUUAAAGGUCCAGAUGGAACCAGGCACAGAAUUUCAUAAUAAUUCAUUGUAAUUAUUAGUUAAUUGUAAAAGAAUUUCCAAAUGAGGAGGAGAAAUCUAAAUAUUUCUUAAAUUCUCCCGUUCUCUGUAUGUCUUUCUCUUUGUUGACUGGCAGAUGCAAAGGACAGAGAGUUUAUAACAAUGAUUGACAAGCAGCUAGAAUGGAGGUGCCCAACUGCAGCAUAAAGAGCUGUGGAUUGCUACAUUUAAUGUUUUUUCACAUCUCAUGAAUAUAUAUUUGUAAAAUGUAGAUAAUAAGCAGGGCCGAACUGCAAC